AUGUCAAAGAUUUUGCACACCUUUGCUGAGCUGAUGGGACUUCAUGACUACAUCAACUAUCUUAAAGAGAUUAAGGAAAUUGGCAGUGUCUACAGUGUUGAACUCACUCAGCCAGACUCUAAAGAACUAAAGCCUGGUCAACCUUUGAGUCUCUCCUGUAAAGUCUCAGGCUAUUCACUGUCUAGCUGUAGCUACUGCACACACGGGAUACGACAAGCUUCUGGAGGACUGGAAUGGAUUGGAAGAGUUUGUUUUAAUAAAAUCUUCUUCAACACGUCCAGCAGCACUGUGACAAUAACAGGCCAGAACAUGCAGACUGAAGACACAGCCGUGUAUUACUGCACACGAGAGUCACAGUGA